rnacentral:rRNA from 1 species
CCCCUAGUAACUGCGAGUGAAGCGGGAAAAGCUCAAAUUUAAAAUCUGGCAGUCUUUGGCUGUCCGAGUUGUAAUUUAGAGAAGCGUCUUCCGCGCCGGACCAUGCACAAGUCUCCUGGAAUGGAGCGUCAUAGAGGGUGAGAAUCCCGUCUUUGGCAUGGAUGCCCGGGGCUUCUGUGAUGCGCUCUCGAAGAGUCGAGUUGUUUGGGAAUGCAGCUCAAAAUGGGUGGUGAACUCCAUCUAAAGCUAAAUAUUGGCGAGAGACCGAUAGCGAACAAGUACCGUGAGGGAAAGAUGAAAAGCACUUUGGAAAGAGAGUGAAACAGUACGUGAAAUUGUUGAAAGGGAAACGCUUGAAGUCAGUCGCGUCGACCGAGACUCAGCCUUGCCUCGGCUUGGUGUACUUCUCGGUUUGACGGGUCAGCAUCAAUUUUGCCCCUUGGAUAAUGGCGAGGGAAAGGUGGCACCUUUAUGGGUGUGUUAUAGUCCCUUGUCGCAUGCGAGGGAUGGGAUUGAGGAACUCAGCGUGCGCCUCGGCGUCGGGGCUUAGGCCCACGUCACGCGCUUAGGAUGCUGGCGUAAUGGCUUUAAACGACCCGUCUUGAAACACGGACCAAGGAGUUCAACAUGCCCGCGAGUGUUCGGGUGGAAAACCCGUGCGCGUAAUGAAAGUAAAAGUUGGGACCUCUGUCGUGGAGGGCACCGACGCCCGGACCAGACCUUCUGUGACGGAUCUGCGGUAGAGCGUGUAUGUUGAGACCCGAAAGAUGGUGAACUAUGCCUGAAUAGGGUGAAGCCAGAGGAAACUCUGGUGGAGGCUCGUAGCGAUUCUGACGUGCAAAUCGAUCGUCAAAUUUGGGUAUAGGGGCGAAAGACUAAUCGAACCAUCUAGUAGCUGGUUCCUGCCGA